rnacentral:lncRNA from 1 species
UAAAUACCAAAUUUUAAAAAUGGCAAAUUACAUUAAGAUUUAAAAAUAUAUUUUAAACUUUAAAAUAUAGAUAUUAUGUAAAUAGAAAGUAUAACAAAUGGAAAUACACAAUUUAAAAAAAAAAAGGAAAACGUACAUUAAGAUUUAAACAUCUUUCUUAAAAUGUAAAAUAUAGAUAUUAAGUAAAUGAAAAGUAAAAGAAAUGGAAAUACAUAUACACGAAAAUAAAUAAUAAGUAAAUAAUGUAAAUAUAUAAUAUAUGGAUUAUAUAUGUAAUAAUAAGUAAAUACACAAUUUUUUUAAAAAUGGAAAAAGAUCAUCAAGCAUUAAACAUCUAUCUUAAAAUAUAAAAUAUAUAGUAUAAGUAAAUACACAAUUUAAAAAAUGGAAAAACUACAUUAAUAUUUAAAUAUCUAUUUUAAAAUAUAAAAUAUAGAUAUUACGUAAAUAAAA